rnacentral:rRNA from 1 species
UACGGAGGGUGCAAGCGUUAUCCGGAUUCACUGGGUUUAAAGGGUGCGUAGGUGGGCUAGUAAGUCCGUGGUGAAAUCUCUGAGCUUAACUCGGAAACUGCCGUGGAUACUAUUAGUCUUGAAUCUCGUGGAGGUAAGCGGAAUAUGUCAUGUAGCGGUGAAAUGCUAGAUAUGACAUAGAACACCGAUAGCGAAGGCAGCUUGCUACACGAGUAUUGACACUGAGGCACGAAAGCGUGGGGAUCAAACAGG